rnacentral:rRNA from 1 species
GCUGUAAAAAUCCGUUUGGUCACCUUUGGGAUUUAUAUCUACUCAGAACUUUAGUGAUUUUGUCUGAAACAUAUUAUGAAUACUUAAUUCAAAAUACAACUUUCAACAACGGAUCUCUUGGCUCUCGCAUCGAUGAAGAACGCAGCGAAAUGCGAUACGUAAUGUGAAUUGCAGAAUUCAGUGAAUCAUCGAAUCUUUGAACGCAUAUUGCGCUCUCUGGUAUUCCGGAGAGCAUGCUUGUUUGAGUAUCAGUAAACACCUCAACUCCCCUUUCUUUUUUGAAAUGGGAGCUGGACUUGAGUGAUCCCAACGCUUUUCUCACCGAAAAGUGGCGGGUUACUUGAAAUGCAGGUGCAGCUGGACUUUUCUCUGAGCUAAAAGCAUAUCUAUUUAGUCUGCCUAAAAAACAGAUUAUUACCUUUGCUGCAGCUAACAUAAAGGAGAUUAGUUCUUGUGCUGACUGAUGCAGGAUUCACAGAGACAGCUUCGGCUGGCCUUUGUAAACUCGAUCUCAAAUCAAGUAAGACUACCCGCUGAACUUAAGCAUAUCAAUAAGCGGAGGA